rnacentral:rRNA from 1 species
UACGUAGGCAGCGAGCGUUGUUCGGAGUUACUGGGCGUAAAGGGUGUGUAGGCGGUUGUUUAAGUUUGGUGUGAAAUCUCCCGGCUUAACCGGGAGGGUGCGGCGGAAACUGGAGUGCUUGAGGGUGGGAGAGGUAAGCGGAAUUCCUGGUGUAGCGGUGAAAUGCGUAGAUAUCAGGAGGAACACCUGUGGUGUAGACAGCUUACUGGACCACUUCUGACGCUGAGACACGAAAGCGUGGGUAGCAAACAGG